GUGCGAAGGUAGCAAAAUAAUUAGUUUAUUAAUUGUAAAAUUGUAUGAACGAAUCUAUAAGGGCCCAAUUGUCUCAAUUUUAAAAAUGAACUUUAUUUUUUUAUGAAAAAGUUAAAAUAAAUUAAAAGGACGAGAAGACCCUAUGAAUCUUUUAAUAACUAAAUAAACUAAAAAUAUAUUUAUUUAAGUUAUUUUUAACUGGGGCGGUUAGUGAAACCUUAAACUUCACCUUCUUUAUAAUUUAAAUAAAAAUGUAAAUAAACCGAUUUUUAUUAAUAAAAUCAAAAGAAUAAGUUACUCUAGGGAUAACAGCAUAAUUUUUUUUGAGAGUUCCUAUUGACAAAAUAAGUUUGUGACCUCGAUGUUGGAUUAAAUAAAUUUAAGGUGU
rnacentral:rRNA from 1 species